AUUGAACGCUGGCGGCAGGCCUAACACAUGCCAGUCGAGCGGAUGAAGGGAGCUUGCUCCUGGAUUCAGCGGCGGACGGGUGAGUAAUGCCUAGGAAUCUGCCUGGUAGUGGGGGAUAACGUCCGGACACGGGCGCUAAUACCGCAUACGUCCUGAGGGAGAAAGUGGGGGAUCUUCGGACCUCACGCUAUCAGAUGAGCCUAGGUCGGAUUAGCUAGCUGGUGGGGUAAAGGCCUACCAAGGCGACUAUCCGUAACUGGUCUGAGAGGAUGAUCGGUCACCCUGAACCUGAGACCGGUCCCGAAUCCUAACGGAGGCAGCAGGAGGGAAAUUUUCGCAAAUGGCGGAAAGCCGGCGCCAGCAAUGCCGGGGGUGUGAAGAGGGCCUUCGAAUUGUAAAGCCCGUUAUGUUGGAAGAAAAAACAUGAAAUUAACUCCGCGCUGUUUUACCGUUCCCAACAAGAUAGGCACCGCCUACCAUCGU
rnacentral:rRNA from 1 species